GACGAACGCUGGCGGCAGGCCUAACACACGCAAGUCGAACGAGAAGCCACCUUCGGGUGGUGGAAAGUGGCAGACGGGUGAGUAACGCGUGGGAACGUGCCUUUCGGUUCGGGAUCACCCAGGGAAACUUGGGCUAAUACCGGAUACGCCCUCCGGGGGAAAGAUUCAUUGCCGAAAGAUCGGCCCGCGUCGGAUUAGCUAGUUGGUAGGGUAAUGGCCUACCAAGGCGACGAUCCGUAGCUGGUCUGAGAGGAUGACCAGCCACACUGGGACUGAGACACGGCCCAGACUCCUACGGGAGGCAGCAGUGGGGAAUAUUGGACAAUGGGCGAAAGCCUGAUCCAGCCAUGCCGCGUGGGUGAAGAAGGCCUUAGGGUCGUAAACCCCUUUCCGCGGGGAAGAUAAUGACGGUACCCGCAGAAGAAGUCCCGGCUAACUCCGUGCCAGCCGCCGCUGUAA
rnacentral:rRNA from 1 species